UACGUAGGUGGCAAGCGUUAUCCGGAAUUACUGGGCGUAAAGCGCACGCAGGCGGCUAGUCAAGUUCGACGUGAAAGCUCCCGGCUUAACUGGGAGAGGUCGUUGAAAACUGGUUAGCUUGAGGCAAUGAGAGGGGUGUAGAAUUCCUGGUGUAGUGGUGGAAUGCGUAGAUAUCCGGAAGAACACCGGUGGCGAAGGCGGCUCGCUGGGCUCUUGCUGACACUGAAUCACGACAGCGUGGGGAGCAAACAGG
rnacentral:rRNA from 1 species